rnacentral:rRNA from 1 species
GUGGGGAAUAUUGGACAAUGGGCGAAAGCCUGAUCCAGCCAUGCCGCGUGUGUGGAGAAGGUCUUCGGAUUGUAAAGCACUUUAAGUUGGGAGGAAGGGCAGUAAGUUAAUACCUUGCUGUUUUGACGUUACCGACAGAAUAAGCACCGGCUAACUUCGUGCCAGCAGCCGCGGUAAUACGACGGGUGCAAGCGUUAAUCGGAAUUACUGGGCGUAAAGCGCGCGUAGGUGGUUUUGUAAGUCAGAAGUGAAAGCCCAGGGCUUAACCCUGGAAUUGCUUUUGAAACUACAAGAGUCGAAUUCGGGAGAGGAUAGCGGAAUUGUCAGUGUAGCAGUGAAAUGCGUAGAUAUUGACAGGAACACCAGUGGCGCAAGCGGCUAUCUGGACCGAUAUUGACGCUGAGGCACGAAAGCGUGGGGAGCAAACAGGAUUAGAUACCCUAGUAGUCC